GCGAGGUGAGUGGGGGAUACCGCGGACUGAGGGAGGAGACCCCGCAGAGCGAAGGAGCGGGCUGGGGGAAACGGGCGGACUGCAGGCUGGGCCUGCGGGAAAAGAUCUGAAGGCUGAGAGAGACAUCCAAAAUACUAAGAAAGGUCUGAAGACAGACCCUCACAGGGAGGGAGGAUGGUGAGGAGGGACCCCACAGACUGAUGGAGGAGGCGGAGGAGAGAGCCCUAAGGGGGGACCCCAGGUAGGGAGGCUGAGGCGAGAGAGCUGCGAUGGGGGCGCCGGGGCUGGGGUGAAGUGGAGGAAAGGAGGUGAGAGGAGGCUGCGAGCAAGGCCGAGGCGGAUCCUCCUUGGCUGCCCCUGGGCAGGGAGGUAGCACCUUUCUCCUCUUAUGCCCCCCUGUUGAUCUUCUUCCAACCCACCUUUUUAAAAAAAGGGACAUGGUCUUGCUCUGUCCCCCAGGCUGGAGUGCAGUAGUGCAGUCAUAGCUCACUGCAGCCUCAACCUGCUGGCCUCAAGCGAUCCUCCUGCUUCAGCCUCCCAAGUAGCUGGGACUACAGGUGUGCACCACCACACCCAGCUAACUAUUUUUUGUAGAGAUGGGAUCUCACGAUGUUGGCCAGGCUGGUCUCUGUCUCCUGGACUCAAGCGAUCCUCCUGCCUCGACCUCCCAAAGUGCUAGUAUUACAGGCGUGAGCCACCGCGCCCAGCUCCUUCCCAUCCUUAAGACUCAACCCCAAGUCAGACCAGGCUCGGUGGCUCACACCUGUAAUCUCAGCACUUUGGGAGGCAGAGGCAGGAGGUUGGCUUGAGGCCAGGGGUUGGAGACCAUCCUAGCCAACAGAGUGAAACCUCGCCUCUACUAAAAAUACAAAAAUUAGCCCCGUGUGGGCCGGGCGCAGUGGCUCACGCCUGUAAUCCCAGCACUUUGGGAGGCGGGCAGAUCACGAGGUAAGGAGAUCGAGACCAUCCUGGCUAAGACGGUGAAACCCCGUCUCUACUAAAAAUACAAAAAAUUAGCCGGGUGUGGUGGUGGGCGCCUGUAGUCCCAGCUACUCGAGAGACUGAGGCAGGAGAAUGGCGUGAACCCGGGAGGCGGAGCUUGCUGUGAGCGGAGAUCGCGCCCCUGCACUCCAGCCUGUGCGACAGAGCGAGACUCCGUCUCAAAAAAAAAAAAAAAAAAUUAGCCGGGUGUGGUGGCGCAUGCCUGUAAUCCCAUGCCUGUAAUGCCAGCUACUCAGGAGGCUAAGGCAGAAGAAUCACUUGAACCCGGGAGGCGUAGGUUGCAGUGAGCCGAGAUUGUGCCACUGCACUCUAGCCUGGGCGACAGAGCAAGGCUCUGUCUCCAAAAAAGAAAAAGACUCAACCCUAAGUCAGCUCCAGGACGUAUGUGCCUACUCUACAUGUGUGAGUCCGAGGGGAAAAAACAUCAUAUGACCUCUUCUAGGGCUUCCAAAGCACCCCACCUGGCCACGGAAGAGCUUAGUAAACAUGGGGUAGUUUUGAGAUUGCUAAAAGGAGGAAGUUAGGCAUAUGUCUCUUGUAGCUUAAAAUAAUACUGUGAAAUUUUUCAAACCUGGAAACAACCACUUCUCUUUCCUUUUAUAUAUAUAUAUAUUUUUUUUUUUAAGACAAGAUCUUGCUCUGUCACCCAGGCUGGAGUGCAGUGGCUGGAUCAUAGCUCACUGUAACCUCAAACUCUCAGUCUCAAGUGAUCCUCCCACGUCAGCCUCUUUAGUAGCUGGGACCACAGGUGUGCGCCACCGUGCCCAGCUAAUUUUUGUAUUUUUGUGGAGAGGAGGUCUCACCAUGUUGCCCAGACUGGUCUUGAAUUCCUGGGCUCAAGCGAUCCACCUCCCUCAGCCUCCCAAAGUGCUGGAACUACAGGCGUGAGCCACCGCACCCAGGCCAUUCUCUUAGCAUUUUGUAUUCCCAUCUUUUAAAAAUGGAAAGCAGGCUGGGCGCGGUGGCUCACACCUGUAAUCCCAGCACUUUGGGAGGUCGAGGCAGGUGGAUCACCUGAGGUCAGGAGUUCUAGACCAGCCUGGCCAACAUGGUGAAACUUCGACUCUACUAAAAAUAUAAAAAUUAGCCAGGUAUGGUAGCGGGUGCCUGUAAUCCUAGCUACUUUGGAGGCUGAGGCAGGAGAAUCACUUGAACCCAAGAGGCAGAGGUGGCAGUGAGCUGAGAUCGUGCCACUCCACUCCAGCCUGGGCGACAGUGAGACUCCAUCUCAAAAAAAAAAAAAAAAAAAAAAGGAAAGCAAACUCAGUUCUAAAAAGUCUACAUGGGGCCAGGCACAGUGGCUCACACCUGUAAUCCUAGCACUUUGGGAGGCCAAUGCGGGUAGAUUACCUGAGGUCAGGAGUUUGAGACCAACCUGGGCAACAUGGUGAAACCCCGUCUCUACUAAAAAUACAAACAAAAUUAGCCGGGUGUGGUGGCGGGCACCUGUAGUCCCAGCUACUCAGGAGGCCGAGGCAGGAGAAUCGCUUGAACCUGGGAGGUGGAGGUUGCAGUGAGCCAAGAUCAUGCCACUGCACUCCAGCCUGGGUGACAGGGCAAAACUCCGUCUCAAAAAAAAAAACAAAAAAGUCUGCGUGGUAUUUUUUUUUUAAGUCCAAGUAAUGAAACAUUUCCUGAUGGCCCAUGGUUUCAGAAUAUAUGGAUAUAAUAGGAUACCAGUAAAAUAGUUCUUUUCUAUCAUGUGUUUGCUCAUGCUUAACCAGGGGCAAUCAUAAAUCACUAAUGGGUCCUAAGCAAAGUUAAAAAUUAAAUUUUUUCAUUCAUUCAUGUAUCUAUGUAUUAAUUUAUUCAUUUAUGACAGGGUCUUGCUCUGUUGCCCAGGCUGGAGUGCAGUGUUGCAUUCAUGGUUCACCAAAGGCUGGAGUGCAGUGUUGCAUUCAUGGUUCACCGAAGCCUCGACCUCCUAGGCUCAUUCAAUCCUCCCACCUCAGCCUCCCGAGUAGCUGGGACUACAGGCAUGUGCCACUACACCCAGCUAAGUUUUUAAAUUGUAGUUGGCUGGGCGCAGUGGCUCACGCCUGUAAUGCCAGUACUUUGGGAGGCUGAGGCGGGUGGAUCACCUGAGGUCGGUAGUUUGAGAGCAGCCUGGCCAACAUGGUGAACACACUAGUCUGUACUACAAAUACAAAAAUUAAAGGCCGGGUGCAGUGGCUCAUGCCUGUAAUCUCAGCACUUUGGGAGGCCGAGGCAGGUGGAUCACCUGAGGUCCGGAAUUCACAACUAGCCUGGCCAAGGUGGUGAAACCUCAUCUGUACUAAAAAUAGAAAAAAUUUGCGGGGCUUGGUGACAGGUGCCUGUAAUCCCACCUACUCAGGAGGCUGAGGCAGAAGAAUCACUUGAACCCAGGAAGCGGAGGUUGCAGUGAGCAGAGAUUGCGGAGGUGGAGGAUACAGUAGUGAGCGGAGAUCGCGCCAUUGCACUCCAGCCUGGGCAACAAGAGUCAAACUCUGUCUCAAAAAAAAAAAAAAAAAUUAGCCAGGCAUAGUGUUGCAUGCCUGUAAUCUGAGCCACUUGGGAGGCUGAGGCAGGAUAAUCACUUGAGCCUGCUUAAGAGGUGGAGGUUGCAGUGAGCCAAGGUCGCACCACUGGACUCCAGCCUGGGUGACAGAGCAAGACUCUGUCUCGAAAAAAAAAAAAAUUUGUAGCCAUAGGAUCUCACUGUCUUGGCCAAGCUGAUCUCAAACUCUUGGCCUCAAGUGAUUCUUCUGCCUUGGCCUAACCCUUUAUUUUUAACAAAGCAUGAGAAAACAAGUUAUUAGCUGCAAGAAAUAAAGGAUGUAAUUGUAACUCCUUCAUUGAAACUUCCUUCUAACUCUGUAUUACAGAAUAUUGAAAUUUGUGAAUAUCUUCUGGCUCCUAAUUUUGCACCCCUGGCAAUUAUGCAGAAGAUGAUCAGAAAUGGAAAAAGAGCAGGAGGGUACCCAGGGCUUUGUGAAUAGGUAUUAACAACUGGUUUGUUGUUACUGGGUUUUUUGUUUGUUUGUUUUUUUAAGGAAACCAGAAUGUAUCUAUUUUAAGCUCUCCUUCCCUAUAGUUAUCUUGUCUUGCUGCAUUAUCCACUUAAUUUAUCAUUGUUGGCCAGGCGCGGUGGCUCACGCCUGUAAUCCCAGAACUUUGGGAGGCUGAGGCGGGCAGAUCACGAGGUCAGGAGAUCGAGACUAUCCUGGCUAACAUGGUGAAACCCCAUCUCUACUAAAAAUACAAAAAUUAGCCAGACAUGGUGGUGAGUGCCUGUAGUCCCAGCUACUCGGGAGGUUGAGGCAGGAGAAUGUCAUGAACCCGGGAGGUGGAGGUUGCAGUGAGCCGAGAUCGUGCCACUGCACUCCAGCCUGGGUGGACAGAGCGAGGCUCCAUCUCGAAAAAAAAAAAUUAUCAUUGUUGUUGACAAUAAAUGUUUUUGGAAGUAAUUUGGAACUGUUGGUUUGCAAAUCACAUAAUAAAAGCCCUCACUUUACUGUAGAGUCACACUUAACAUUAGACAAAACUAUAUAUCUAGAUUGAUAACUAGACCGAACUAGGUGGCUUUUGGCCAUUGCUACAAAUUAAAUCCAACCUGGAAAAAAUAUUCAGGCUGUAAAGGCAGUUCCAAAAGCUGUCUCCAAAAAUCGUUUGGGACAACAAUGUCUCAUUCUUUUUGUCUUCCAUGGUGCUUUGCCUAACUCCUCGAAGAUAGCUCAAACUCAGAAAAUGUUUAUCUGGUUGAGUCACUUUAAUAAAAAUAGUCUUGUUACCUCAUGGUUCACAUGUUAUUUAUUUAUUUAUGAAACAGUCUCACUCUGUCGCCUGGGCUGGAGUGCAAUGGCAUGAUCUCGGCUCACUGCAACCUCCACCUCCUGGGUUCAAGAGAUUCUCGUGCCUCAGCCUCCUGAGUAGCUGGAAUUACUGGCAUGUGCCACCACGUCCGGCUAAUUGUUUUGUAUUUUUAGUAGAGACGAGGUUUCACCAUGUUGGCCAGGCUGGUCUCGAACUCCUGGCCUUAAGUGAUCUGCCCACCUCGGCCUCCCAAAGUGCUGGGAUUACAGGCUUGAGCCAUGGCACCUGGCUUAUUUAUUUAUUUAUUAAGUUAUAAAGACAAGAUCUCACCCUGUCACCCAUGCUGGAGUGCAGUGGCAUAAUCAUAGCUCACUGAAGCCUCACCCUUCUCCACUCAAGCAAUUCUCCCACCUCAGCCUCCUGAGUACAUAUGACUACACCCAUGCCCCAC
rnacentral:lncRNA from 10 species